GCGGGUGUAGCACAACGGCUAGUGCACUAGAUUGCCAAUCUAGGUAUGGGGGUUCGACUCCCCUCACCCGCU
rnacentral:tRNA from 1 species